AUGGUAGCCGGCCCUACAUCUCCACUCAGAAAGGAAAAUGCUGGAGCCAAUGGAUGUUUAGUGGGACUACGUUCUGAUUUGACAAAGCUAAAGGAAGCAUAUAUCACAAAUUUCUAUCGGAAAGAGAAUAUGGGGAUGGUGUUUCAUUCUUGGCCAGCUGCGGUUGCUGGCAGUGGAGGAGCAGCAGCGGCCGAUGGCGGCGGACCAGAUCGGCGUAUCAUGGGAGCGGCCACGACGGCCGUCACGAGUGGAGCAGAGCCAAGUUGGCGCGGCGGCCGGGCGCGAUCUGGAGAACCUAUGAGUGUGGUGCGCUAUCGAGGCAGUCGCGACUUGCGCGAGUUGGAGGCGAGGUGA
rnacentral:rRNA from 1 species